CCUACGGGGGGCUGCAGUGGGGAAUAUUGCACAAUGGAGGGAACUCUGAUGCAGCAACGCCGCGUGAGUGAAGAAGUAUUUCGGUAUGUAAAGCUCUAUCAGCAGGGAAGAUAAUGACAGUACCUGAAUAAGAAGCCCCGGCUAACUACGUGCCAGCAGCCGCGGUAAUACGUAGGGGGCAAGCGUUAUCCGGAUUUACUGGGUGUAAAGGGAGCGUAGACGGCGAAGCAAGUCUGGAGUGAAAAUCCGGGGCUCAACCCCGGAAGUGCUUUGGAAACUGUUUUGAUAGAGUGUCGGAGAGGUAAGUGGAAUUCCUGGUGUAGCGGUGAAAUGCGUAGAUAUCAGGGAGAACACCGGAGGCGAAGGCGGCUUACUGGACGAUAACUGACGUUGAGGCUCGAAAGCGUGGGAAGCAAACAGGAUUAGAUACCCCUGUAGUC
rnacentral:rRNA from 1 species